GCGGGCGUGGCGGAACUGGUAGACGCACGGGACUUAAAAUCCCGGGGCCUAUGCCGUGGGGGUUCGAGUCCCCCCGCCCGCACCA
rnacentral:tRNA from 1 species